rnacentral:lncRNA from 1 species
AUUUUAUAGAUUCUUGUACAACACAGCUUGACCUCCAAAACUGUGUCUCAGAUUUCCAAAAACAUCAAUAGAACAAAUUUUAUACCCAAUUGAAUUUUGUGGUCUAUAAUGAAUUGAUGUUGCCAACUUCAUUGAGGAUUUAUGAGAGAAUGAAAUUCAAUAGGAAAAAUCUGAGACACAGUUUUGGAGGUAAAACUGUGUUGUGCAAGAAUCUAUAAUUCUUUUAGGAUGCUAUGAAGAACAAAGAAGCUAAAUUCAUUCAAGUAUGGACAUCACAGAAUGGCAACUAAUUACAUAACAAUUUAUUAUGUAAUAAUUAUGUCAUAAUGAAAUUAUCACAAUUAGAAAGAUUAAUCCUUCUUCUUUCUUUUGGUACCUCAUUUAUAAAAUUUAAAGAAAGAUGAGUGGAAUUACAUCAGUUUAAAGAUGUCGG